AAGUCUUACUGGAGGAUGUGACAUAAAGGAUGCAGUCUGGCGGCUAAUGAGGAAAACAAUUUCCAAUAGCCUUGCUAGAAACAUGAAUUGGAAGGGGUUGAAUGGGAAGACAUCACUUGCAGCACUGCGAUUGAAGGAUGUGAUGAUUGGUAAAUCUACAGUUCGAAAAAAUCCACUGAUGUCCAAAGCAACAUGAUGAUGUGGAAUCUGUCAUGAAAAGAUGGCUGCAGCUUGCUUUAGAUCGUGAGGGCGGCAGAAAACGGCGGCAAAAAACACUCAUAAAAUGUCUCUCUUGUUCAAUCAACCACCCACCAAUAGGAGAGUGCCAAAUAUAAAUUAACAAUACAAAAUUAACAAACCAUGACAGACACAACACUGAAGAGGUGACAAAGACACAGUUUGAAUAGAAUGGGGAAAAAGAGUAAGGUAUGAAAGUUGCCAGUAGAGGGCAGAGUGACGCUUUGCUUUUUAUUGUGAGCGGACGUCGUUUCCUCAAUGCUGAGCGAAGCUGUUCAAGUAAAGAAAAAUGUUGUUUCUCCUGUUCUUUCUCCUGUUUUACAGACAGGUUUGUGGGGGCUCGUCCGGGAUCAGCAACACCUGUGAUUGGAGAACAUCGGUGUAUGACAUAUCAUCAGAGCUAGGGACUUCGAGCUUCUGAAAAAUGUCUACGAUGGCAGACAGCGAGAGGAAGAAGCUGAUUUGGACUGUGAAGAAAAGACUUUUCCAUCUUUUUGAGUUGUUCCAGCUUGCGACGGAGAUUCCACAGACACCUGACCAAGACCCAGCUAAGUUGAACAAACAUGAUGACGAAGGCUGUAUUAAUUGUGUGGACAGCACAAAUUUGCUAGAGUUAGAGGAUGAGGGCGUGUAACAGUUACUUAUGUUAGAAGACGUGAUUUCUGAGAUUAUCCACAGUCGUAAUAGAGAGUGACGUAGAUCUACAUGAGGUCAUCAUUCAUCCUGGCCAGGUGACCCGCAUCAGAUGUAAGGUGCCUGUUGAUUUCACCCAGCCUGUGGCUUUGUUUGAGUCUAACCACUCUGACCUGAGGCUGCAGCAGUUAGAUCUUAGUGAUUAUCUGGUAGAAGUGCACCACUGCAGACAACCUUAUGUUGAAAUCCCAGUAUGUAACUACACACAGUAGA